rfam:Candidatus Puniceispirillum marinum IMCC1322, complete genome.
UUGACUGGAUCAAAGACAGCUGAUGCACAAGCGGCUUAUGAAUCAACACAUACGAUUAUUCCAACCGUUAUGGGUGGGGUGAAUUUUGUCCUGCAUGCGG